CAGGCCUAACACAUGCAAGUCGAGCGGUAACAGGACUAGCUUGCUAGUUGCUGACGAGCGGCGGACGGGUGCGUAACACGUAGGAAUCUGCCUAGUAGUGGGGGAUAGCCCGGAGAAAUUCGGAUUAAUACCGCAUACGCCCUAAGGGGGAAAGCAGGGGAUCUUAGGACCUUGCGCUAUCGGAUGAGCCUGCGUCGGAUUAGCUAGUUGGUGGGGUAAAGGCCUACCAAGGCAACGAUCCGUAGCUGAUCUGAGAGGAUGAUCAGCCACACUGGGACUGAGACACGGCCCAGACUCCUACGGGAGGCAGCAGUGGGGAAUAUUGCACAAUGGGCGCAAGCCUGAUGCAGCCAUGCCGCGUGUGUGAAGAAGGCUUUAGGGUUGUAAAGCACUUUCAGCGAGGAGGAAAGGGUUAGAAUUAAUACCUCUGAUCUGUGACGUUACUCGCAGAAGAAGCACCGGCUAACUCCGUGCCAGCAGCCGCGGUAAUACGGAGGGUGCGAGCGUUAAUCGGAAUUACUGGGCGUAAAGCGUGCGUAGGUGGCUAGUUAAGUUGGUUGUGAAAGCCCUGGGCUCAACCUGGGAACUGCAUCCAAAACUGACUGGCUAGAGUGCGGAAGAGGAGUGUGGAAUUUCCUGUGUAGCGGUGAAAUGCGUAGAUAUAGGAAGGAACACCAGUGGCGAAGGCGACACUCUGGUCUGACACUGACGCUGAGGUACGAAAGCGUGGGGAGCAAACAGGAUUAGAUA
rnacentral:rRNA from 1 species